rnacentral:rRNA from 1 species
UACGAGGGGUGCAAGCGUUGCUCGGAAUUAUUGGGCGUAAAGGGUAGGUAGGUGGUCUCAUUUGUCUGGGGUGAAAUCCUUGAGCUUAACUCAAGAAGUGCCUCAGAAACGGUGAGACUAGAGUACUGGAGAGGGUCGUGGAAUUCCCGGUGUAGCGGUGAAAUGCGUAGAGAUCGGGAGGAACACCAGCGGCGAAGGCAGCUCGCUGGGACGGUACUGACGCUGAGACGCGAAAGCGUGGGGAGCAAACAGG